rnacentral:rRNA from 1 species
GAAAGUAAGAAAGGGCGUAUGGCGGAUGCCUAGGCUCACGGAGGCGAUGAAGGACGUGAUAAGCUGCGAUAAGCUUCGGGUAGGUGCAAAUAACCCUUGAUCCGAAGAUUUCCGAAUGGGACAACCUAGCCGUCUGAAGGACGGUUACUCUUACCAAUGUAAGAGAGCUAACGCAGGGAACUGAAACAUCUUAGUACCUGCAGGAAGAGAAAAUAAAUGAAUGAUUCCCCCAGUAGUGGCGAGCGAACGGGGAACAGCCCAAACCAGUGGCGUCGCAAGGCGUGGCUGGGGUUGUAGGACCGCGACAUUGUAUUGAAAUGGUGAGUGGAAGUAUCUGGAAAGUUACAUCACAGAAGGUGAUAAUCCUGUACACGAAGCCAGAUUAGGCAUAGCGGUAUCCUGAGUAACGCGGGACACGAGGAAUCCUGCGCGAAUCUGCCGGGACCAUCCGGUAAGGCUAAAUACUCCCGUGAGACCGAUAGCGAACGAGUACUGUGAAGGAAAGGUGAAAAGAACCCCGAGCAGGGGAGUGAAAUAGUUCCUGAAACCAUACGCCUACAAGCGGUCGGAGCAUCGUAAGAUGUGACGGCGUGCCUUUUGCAUAAUGAUCCUACGAGUUACCGUCACUGGCGAGGUUGAGUGUCACGAGACACGUAGCCGCAGUGAAAGCGAGCCUGAAUAGGGCGCACAGUCAGUGGGGGUAGACGCGAAACCAAGUGAUCUACACUUGGCCAGGAUGAAGUCCCGGUAACACGGGAUGGAGGUCCGCACCAAUAAGCGUUGAAAAGCUUCUGGAUGAGCCGAGUGUAGGAGUGAAAGGCCAAUCAAACUUGGAGAUAGCUCGUACUCCCCGAAAGGCAUUUAGGUGCCGCGUCGGAUGGUCACCGUGAGAGGUAGAGCGACCGAUAGGACAAGAGGGCUUCACCGCCUAUCGAGUCCUGACGAACUCCGAAUGCUCACGGUCUGCAGUCCGGCAGUAAGGGGGCGGGUGCUAAGGUCCGUCCCCGAGAGGAGAAGAAUCCAGACCGCCGUCUAAGGUCCCGGAGUUCUGCCUGAGUUAGUCUAACGAAGUCUGGUCCCUAUGACAGCUAGGAUGUUGGCUUGGAAGCAGCCAUUCAUUCAAAGAGUGCGUAACAGCUCACUAGUCGAGGGUCCGGGCAUGGAUAAUAAUCGGGUAUAAGGCAGACACCGAAGGCGCGGGAUAGCAAUUUUAAAAGUAUCGGUAGGGGAGCAUACUCACAGCGUCGAAUGGUGUACGUAAGUUAUCCUGGAGCGGUGAGUAAAGCAAAUGUAGGAAUAAGUAACGAUAAGGAGGGUUAGAUUCCCUCCCGCUGUAAGACCAAGGUUUCCCGGGCAAUGCCAAUCAGCCCGGGGUCAGUCGGGUCCUAAGUCUAAGCCGAACGGCGAUGGCGAUGGCAGAGACGGUUAAUAUUCCGUCACUGCCGCAUGGGGCGACGUGGAGACGGAGCAGUGAAACCACCGCGGGGCGACGGAAGUCCCCGUUGAAGAGUGUAGGCGUUGAGGAUGGCAGGCAAAUCCACCAUCCGAGCUGAACUUGACAGUACGGAGUCCUCCUCGGAGGAAUCUGAUAGUGUGGGUAAUCAUACUCCCGAGAAAAUCCGCUAAGCUUAACCCAUGCGGCACCCGUACCGCAAACGGACACACGUGGUCGGGUAGAACAUACUAAGGCGUUGAGAGAUUCAUGGUUAAGGAACUAGGCAAAUUGACCCUGUAACUUCGGGAUAAAGGGUCCUCGUGAUGAGCGAGGCGCAGAGAAUAGGUCCAGGCAACUGUUUAACAAAAACACAGGGCUGUGCAAACUCGAAAGAUGACGUAUACAGCCUGACACCUGCCCGGUGCCGGAAGGUUAAGAGGAGAUGUCACUCGCAAGAGGAAGCAUUGAAUUGAAGCCCCGGUAAACGGCGGCCGUAACUAUAACGGUCCUAAGGUAGCGAAAUUCCUUGUCGGGUAAGUUCCGACCUGCACGAAUGGUGUAAUGAUCCGGACGCUGUCUCAACCGUGAGCUCAGUGAAAUUGUAGUAUCGGUGAAGAUGCCGAUUACCCGCGAUGGGACGAAAAGACCCCGUGAACCUUUACUACAGCUUAGCAUUGACCUUGGUCAUCCGAUGUGUAGGAUAGGCCGGAGGCUUUGAAGCGGGAGCGCCAGCUUUCGUGGAGCCAUCCUUGAAAUACGGCCCUUUGGCUGUCUGAGGUCUAACGCGCAGAUGCGCGGACACUGCUUGGUGGGUAGUUUGACUGGGGUGGUCGCCUCCAAAAGCGUAACGGAGGCUUCCAAAGGUGCCCUCGGGUCGAUUGGUAACCGACCUCAAAGAGUGCAAUGGCAUAAGGGCGCUUGACUGGGAGGCAGACAUGCCGAGCAGGCAGGAAACUGGGGCAUAGUGAUCCGGCGGAUGUGUAUGGAAACUCCGUCGCUCAAAGGAUAAAAGGUACUCCGGGGAUAACAGGCUGAUCCCCCCCAAGAGCUCAUAUCGACGGGGUGGUUUGGCACCUCGAUGUCGGCUCGUCACAUCCUGGGGCUGGAGAAGGUCCCAAGGGUUGGGCUGUUCGCCCAUUAAAGUGGCACGCGAGCUGGGUUCAGAACGUCGUGAGACAGUUCGGUCUCUAUCUAUCGUGGGCGUGGGAGUUUUGAGUGGUGCCGUCACUAGUACGAGAGGACCGUGAUGGACAGACCUCCGGUUUACCAGUUGUGCCGCCAGGCGCACCGCUGGGUAUCUGAGUCUGGAUUGGAUAAGCGCUGAAAGCAUCUAAGUGCGAAGCCAGCCGCAAGAUGAGAACUCCAUUGAGGGUCGUCAAAGACGAUGACGUUGAUAGGAUGCAGGUGUAAAGACAGCGAUGUCAAAGCCGAGCAUUACUAAUUGCCCGAACACUUUCUUUC